UACGUAGGGGGCAAGCGUUGUCCGGAUUUAUUGGGCGUAAAGAGCGUGUAGGCGGCCAGAUAGGUCUGCUGUGAAAACUCGAGGCUUAACCUCGAGAUGUCGGUGGAAACCAUCUGGCUAGAGUCCGGAAGAGGAGAGUGGAAUUCCUGGUGUAGCGGUGAAAUGCGCAGAUAUCAGGAGGAACACCCGUGGCGAAAGCGGCUCUCUGGAACGGUACUGACGCUGAGACGCGAAAGCGUGGGGAGCAAACAGG
rnacentral:rRNA from 1 species